UAAAAAAAGGCCAAAAAAAUGCAUUUUUUUCCUUCUUUUUCAACAUUAGGAGGAGUAGUUAUAUUCUGUCAUACUGUGAUUAAGUUAAAUUACACAUUCAGGGGAUCCAAAUUGGUAUUCUAGGUUAGAGGACAUUUAAAUUAUUAUUUGGUUAUGACAAAUUCAGUUAUUCUUGAAUUUUUUUGAGCAAGCUGCCUUAGCAGUGCUUCCCAGUGAUAAGCAAAAGAUUAACAGGACGGUGGCCUUUAAGAGAUCUAAUAAAUGCCUCUAGUUAAAUACCGUGGGGCAGAAUUAACUGCAGUCCUUAGCUAUGGAAAAACAACCUGUGUCCUGUUCAGAGUUUCAGCACCUUCUCUUAAAAUACAUUUAGUCUAAGAAUGACCUAAAUGAAGAACUCAGUACCCCUUAACAUCAGAACUAUGUCUAUAGCUGUAUCAUUUGGGCCAACUGUUUCAGACUUUCUUCUCUCCAGCACCCUUAAGCAAAGCCACUAGUUAGUGGAAAGCAGAGUAAGAGCCCCUUCCUCUUUCUUUUAAGUUUCAAUUAGUGAACACAUCCAUGUGCAAUAAAAUAUUGUCUGAGUUAUACUAUGUUACUGGGAAACAUUGUCUGAUAAUAGGUUUCUUUCUCCUGAUUAUCAGGUUUUGGAUUCAGGAAGACAAAUAGAAUACAGUUCGCCAUAUAAGUUGUUGCAAAAUAAGAACAGCCUAUUUUACAAGAUGGUGCAACACCUGGGGGAGGCCGAGGCCACUGCCCUCACUGAGACAGCAACACAGGUGCACAUGGAAAGGAAAUAGCCAGAAAUUACUCACAACAGCCACACGGUUCUGAACGUUUCCAGUGGACGGGCCUCCGCCUGAACAGUGUGGGGGCAGCACUGUGAUCCUGCCGUGAGGGCAGGUGUGCUCCAGAGGCAUUUCUCCAAGUUUUUGCAUUGCAUAAACUGUAUUUUACUUUUUUUUAUACCAGCAACAAAUAUUUACACAUACAGGAUGUUAGUUUAUUUAUUUUUUUUCUUACACCUUCACCCGGUGAUUGCAAGCUCUUACAAAAAUGAUUUGUUAUUUUUAUUUAUAUGUUACACUUUUUUUUCUUAUCCAAAUCAGAGGCUCAGGCCACCAAUAAAAACUGUCUCUCAGGUUUUGUGCCUCGAGAGACUCCAGAGCAAAGCUUAUUUUCUAAGCUAUAAGACAGAGUUGUCCCAGAGGUGUUUUACUGCUCCUCCCUUCCCCCAAUUACAUCCUACUACUUUCCAGUUAUAUCAGGGAUCCUGUUCACCUGAAGACUGUGUAAAGUUGUCAUUUUCACUCAUUUCUUCCUUUAACAGAACUAGGAUCCAUUAUUCCACCCAAAUACUUCACAGGAAAAACAAAAAAUAUAUACUUUAGUUUGUGACAUUAUGGAAGAGAGAUGCCCCCCCUCCAAAACAUAAAAAGACCUGUGGUUAAGAUAGAGGACAGUCUUUAUAUGGUCUAAGAGAAGGAAGAGAAAAUAUCCUCCAGAGGGAUUUGAUAAUGAAGGACACACAUGUGACUGAUCGUCUUCUGGAUGGAGGGUUUUAUUUUUUACACUUUUAUUGUGGUAAAAUGUAUUUAACGUCAAAUAAGCCUACAAUUCAGCCGCCUUAAUGGCAUUCACAGUGUUGUGCAACAAUCAAUGUCUGGUUAAUUUUUGGUAAUUAUCUUAGUACUAUUCAGGUUUUUUUUUUCUUUUUGUCUCUUUUUGUCUUUUUUUAAGGCCUGCACCCAUGGCAUAUGAAAGUUCCCAGGCGAGGGGUUGAAUUGGAGCUGCAGCCGCCAACCUACACCACAGCCCCAGCAACGCCAGAUCCAAGCCAUGUCUGUGGCCUACACCACAGCUCAUGCAAUGCCAGAUGUGUAACCCACUGAGUGAGCCCAGGGAUUGAACCUGCAUCCUCGUGGAUCCUAGUCAGGAUUGUUAACUGCUGAGCCAUGAAUGGAACUCUGCAGUGUGUUUUUUUUACAGAUUCAUUUUUGGUAAGUUUUAUUUCUCUAGGAGCGGAUCUAUUUCCUGUGAAUUUUGAGCUUGAUUGGUAUAAAGUUAACCAUAAUAUCUUAUACAUUUAAUCUCUGCAGCAUUUAUAAUUGUGUUCAUUUUGGCUUAUUAAUUUUCUUUGGACCUUCUCUCUAAGAAUAAUCUUACAUGACUUUUGCCUAUUAAUUUUCAAGAGUCAGUUUUUUUGCUUAAUUGAUCUUUGUUUUUUUUAAAAUUUUUAGUUAGUCAUAAUAUUCUUUCUUUUAACUUUUCAUUUCCUUAGAGAUUUUUUUCUCAAAAUUCUGAAAUUGGAAACAAUAUCAAUUAUUUUUCUAAUGUCAGUAGAUGAAGCCUACUUUUUCUAAGACCCACUUUAGCUUCAACCUACAGGUUUAGGUACUUGUCAAUAACCAUAGUGUUAUAUAUUUUCUAAUUUCUAAUUUAAUUAUUAGUUAUGUAUUUUACCCACAUGUUAUUCCUAAGCAUAAUGUUCUCUAAAUUUCAAAGGCUGAUUCAUUUUUUUCUAUUAGCUUGAAGCAUAUGGAACAUAACGUAGUUUUAACCUAUCAAAUGGCAGUUUUCUAUGGUUCAACAUGAUAGUUUUCUUUGGUUAAUAUUUACCUUAAUUUCAUUUUAGUCAGAGAACAUUAUGGAUUUUAAACCAAAGCUAACCGUGUUCAUUCCCAAAGUCCUGUUUCUGCAAUUUUGUAUUCUCUUUGGGGAUUUUUAAAGUUGUAAGUAUGUGAAUAACUAAUAAUUUUCAAAUAAAAAUCCUGAACACUGGAA